rnacentral:rRNA from 1 species
UUGGAGGGCAAGUCUGGUGCCAGCAGCCGCGGUAAUUCCAGCUCCAAUAGCGUAUAUUAAAGUUGUUGCAGUUAAAAAGCUCGUAGUUGAAUUUCGGGGUUCUACCGUUGGUCGGGCAAUAGUCUGUACUGGCGUGUGGAAUUUCUACCUUCUGGGGAACCAUCAUGUUAUUUAUUUAACGUGGUGGGAAACCAGGACCUUUACCUUGAAAAAAUUAGAGUGUUCAAAGCAGGCUUACGUCUGAAUACAUUAGCAUGGAAUAAUAAAAUAGGACGGUGGUCCUGUUUUGUUGGUUUCUGAAUCACCGUAAUGAUUAAUAGGGAUAGUUGGGGGCAUUAGUAUUCAAUUGUCAGAGGUGAAAUUCUUGGAUUUAUUGAAGACUAACUACUGCGAAAGCAUUUGCCAAGGAUGUUUUCAUUAAUCAAGAACGAAAGUUAGGGGAUCGAAGACGAUCAGAUACCGUCGUAGUCUUAACCAUAAACUAUGCCGACUAGGGAUCGGAUGAUGUUAAUUUUUUAAUGACUCAUUCGGCGCCUUACGGGAAAC